rnacentral:rRNA from 1 species
GACGAACGCUGGCGGCGUGCUUAACACAUGCAAGUCGAACGGUGAAGGGACCGGUUUUUGCUGGUUCUGGAUGAGUGGCGAACGGGUGAGUAACACGUGAGUAACCUGCCCCCUUCUUCUGGAUAACCGCAUGAAAGUGUGGCUAAUACGGGAUAUUCUGCGCCUGCUGCAUGGUGGGUGUGGGAAAGAUAUUGUUUCGGUGGGGGAUGGGCUCGCGGCCUAUCAGCUUGUUGGUGGGGUGAUGGCCUACCAAGGCGGUGACGGGUAGCCGGCCUGAGAGGGUGGACGGUCACACUGGGACUGAGACACGGCCCAGACUCCUACGGGAGGCAGCAGUGGGGAAUAUUGCACAAUGGGCGCAAGCCUGAUGCAGCGACGCCGCGUGAGGGAUGGAGGCCUGCGGGUUGUAAACCUCUUUCGCCAGUGAAGCAGGCCUGUCCCUUUUGUGGGUGGGUUGACGGUAGCUGGAGAAGAAGCGCCGGCUAACUACGUG